GCCGCAGUAUUUUGACUGUGCAAAGGUAGCAUAAUCAUUAGUUUUUUAAUUGAAAGCUGGUAUGAAUGGUUGGAUGAGAAAGCCUCUGUCUCACUUUAAUUUUAUUUGAAUUUUACUUUUAAGUUAAAAGGCUUAAAUUUUUUAAAAAGACGAGAAGACCCUAUAGAGUUUAAUAAGUUUAGGUUUUUAAUAAUUAAGGGUUUAAAUUUAUUUAUAGUUUAGCUUAUUUUGUUGGGGUGACAUAAGAAUUGAAUUAACUUCUUUUUUGUUAAACACUGAUUAGUGAUUAUUUGAUCCUGAGUUUCGGAUUUAAAGAAUAAAUUACCUUAGGGAUAACAGCGUAAUUCUUUUGGAGAGUUCUGAUCGAUAAAGGGGAUUGCGACCUCGAUGUUGGAUUAAAGUUUAAUUUUGGUGCAGAAGCUAAAAUUUUG
rnacentral:rRNA from 1 species